rnacentral:lncRNA from 1 species
UGCACCUGCAGCAUAUGCGGUUCCCAGGAUAGGGGUCGAAUCAGAGCUACAUUGGCCGGCCUACACCACAGCCACAGCAAUGCCAGAUCCGAGGUGCAUCUGAGACCUACACCACAGCUCAUGGCAACACCAGAUCCUUAACCCACUGAGCAAAGCCAGGGAUCGAACCUGCAACCUCAUGGUCACUAGUUGGAUUCGUUUCCACUGCACCAUGAUGGGAACUCCUCUCAUUCUCUCUUGAAUCUACUCAAAUUAUGUUAAUUAUAUUUUAGUCUUAACCAUUCCAAGGUGCCUGCUCUUGACAAGGGCACCAGUGAACGUCAUUGUCUAAUCCAGUAAGACUUCUUGACCUUCGUUUUUACUCUGUUUCUAAAAAACAUGUGGCAGGAAUUUUUUCACUCUCCCCUUCCUAAAACCAAUUCUUCCCUUGGCUUCUAUGAUUCCACACUUUCUCAGCCUUUUCCCUAUUUCACUGAUCACCUCUUUUCUGUCUCCUUUAUUAUCUCUGCUUUCUCUUUUCUACAUCUAAAAUUUAGCAACCCCAUGCCUCCAUCUUCAGCCCCCUUCUCUUCUCUACUGAGCCAAGUCCCAUGGCUUUCUAAAAUAUCUAUAACCUGGCCACUCCCAAUCUAUAUCACCAGCCCUAACACACUUUUCUGUAACCCGACCUUUUUGUCUUUUUAGGGCUGCAUCCACAGCAUCUAGAGGUUCCCAGGCUAGGGGUUGAAUGGGACCUGAGGCAAGGUAUAUAAAAUAUAUUUUUCAAACAUAUUUAAAGAUUAUAAAAUUAUAUAAAGGUGAACUGGAGUUCCCCUUGUGGCACAGCAGGUUAAGGAUCUGGCAAUGUCACUGCAGCAGCUCAGGUCAUGGCUGUGACACGGGUUUGAUCCCUGGCCCAGAACAUCCACAAGCUGCAAGUGCAGCCAAAAGGAAAAAAAGAAAAAGAUGAGCUGAUUUUCCCGAACAACAUCAUGGUCUAAAAAGUCAAUGUUUUUCAAAAUCCACUUGGUGGUCUCCUAAUCAGCCUGUCCUUCCAGCCUGCCCCUGAGCAUUCAUGAACAUUCAUCCAUUUGUCCUCAUGGAUGACCCAAGCUAAACUAUCUCCUAGGAAUAUUUGAUUAUAAGGUUUUAUUUACAAAUAUUUUGCAAUAUAGAAUCAUAUUCCUAGUCAUCUCAAUGACAUAUUUAAAAUAGGUACAAUAAGUCUUUUAAUGCAAAACAAACAACAAAGAACUACAAAACAUUGUGGCUACAUUAGGGCCUUAGCACACAGAUUUAAUAAUUGGAUCAAAGUACUUUUGAUUUAAUAAAGAAAAAGUAGGUCUUGAGUUCAUUUCCUUUAAAAAGUUCAAACUAUAUCUGAUUGCAGUCAAUUGUUUUCAGAACAAAGGAAGGCGCAUGAAAUUCAAGAAGCUUGCUUGAAGUCUGUUUUUCACAUUUGUUUUUCCCUAGGAUUUUGUAAUAACGGUAUUUGUCAUUUGUUUGCAAAAUAGCACUGAAAUGACAAAUUCUUUCCCCUGCCACUGGAUUCACAAAAGAGAGCAAAUCCUUCUAUCCUUUAAUAUUCUAUUUAUUGUAAUAAUAGAUAUUUCCAUGAGACAAUAUGAUUCAGUACCUGACACAUAAUACUUACUCAAUAAAUAUUUGUUCAAUUAAACUGAAUGUUUAAGCUUGUGUACAUUUCUAAGGGCUAAUAUUUGUCAAGACCUCUGAGUACCUUCUUUGCCAUUAAAGAGGUUCCCUGUCAUUGCAACAAGUCUUUGUUUGGGGAAGAUUAUGGAACCACCCUUGGGAACAGUGCUAUGAAAUUUUAAAUUAAUAUGUUAGCACAGGAAAUAAGGUUAUUAAAGCUAAGAGUCACUACACAUAGACAGAUCUAUUGAUCAUAAUUUAAUAGAAAUUAUGAUAAACAACAGGAAUAUAAAGGUAGGAUAUUAAAUUAUAUUCCAGUAUGUUUGUUUUAUGUAUUUUAUGUUUGCUUUAUUAGAGACACAAUGUUGCAAGAAAUAAAGAACCCAGGGAAGGAAUGAAUGGUGAGACGGAAAGAUUUAAUUUAGGGAUCAAAGAUUUUGUUUCCAAAUAGUUCAUUACAAAACAUAUUUUGACUAAGAGAAAAACAUAUUAGCUAAAACAACAAAAGAGCUGGCUAUGGCCCUUUGAAACACAUUCUUAUAUUCCCUUCUUAUAAUAACUUCAUAGACUACAGAAAAGGGAAGGUUUUGAAGCCAACUUCUUCAUCUUCAGAUUUUUUUCUAUCCCCAUUUCCAAAUUUGCCUGUGGACUUGAAUGACCAUUCCCAGACAUGAACUUGAAGAUUUAAUAAAAAAUCUUCUAUCAAGAGGAGAGCAGCAAGAAUUUGAGAAUGUAAGGCCACUCUGUCUGCAGCGGAAUAGAAGUACUGGCCCUGAUGGGGACAGAGGAUUUCCUCCCACGGGUAGAGAUACCAUUGAGAGGGGUCCGCACUCCAGGGUCUUGAGUGGAGAUGUGAUGAGGCCAAGUGUAAGAGAAGCAGCAAGGCCAGGUUCAAACAGAAGCCAUAUAAGGGCUGCAGCAUGUGUUCUUUGCUAUACAUUGACCUACCAAGGCCAGAAGUUGCCUUACACUUGGCAAGCACCACCAGAUUUUUGACAAAUAAAUGCCCUUCAAUCUUCCACCAAUAGACUGAUGGUGUGGUAAGGAAACUUCAAAGGUUUUGCACGUUUCAAGGUUCUGGUGAAUAUAACUUUGUGAGAACAAAUCCAGUCUAUUUCUGUAGAGGUAACCCACUCAGAAGAGAGAAAUAUUUACCAAUAAACAUUUUUAUUUCCCAGGGCUAAAUCCACCAAGAAACAGAGUAUGAGGAUCUCAGGGAAGCUUCUUUCCUUUGCGAUAGCCAGGUGACCACAGAAAAAAGUACAUUUUUACCAUACAAGCAUUUAAUUUAUGAGCAUUGAGCCAUAUGUAUGUGACAGAGAGAUAGACAAGAAAAUUGUUAAACUGGUGGACAGGAAUCCCUUCGCUGUUCCAACUCUCUGCAUAAGCAUUUACCCCAAUUCUCUGCAUAAGCAUUUACCCCAAAGAGAAUUUUCUACCCAAGGGCAGCCUCAGCUCCUGUGUGGCUCUCAUCCACAGAAGACCUCUCUAAAUGAGUAAUGCGGUGGAAUUCAAUGAAUCCAGUGACAUGCAGACACACAUAUUUUAUUCAACAUGGUCCUUAAAGCACAAGCCAACUACAUAAUCUGGUGCUCGACAGAGCUGCUCAUUUGGUGUCAGAGGGGGUAUUCCUUACAGAUGUGAUAGAAAGGAUGUGUUUGCCUUCAACGUGGCUCCUUCCAGAGGCGUUUCCAAAAGUCAUUGCAACAAUACUCAGAUCUCACCUGACCUACUGCACUGCUUUGGGAACCAAAGGCCCAAAUUAGAUUGGAGUCCAUUAUCACUGUCACCCUUGCAGUCUCUUCUAACCUAGUCUCCCUGCUGGAGCCAGACUCAUAGACUCCUCUUGUUCUUUGGAGCUGGAGCUCUCCCCACAUCCUUCUUUGCUGUUUACUAGACCAAAGAGUUGGAAAAUAUUAUUUAACCACUGGCUUGGGGCAAAGUUUUGAGCUCUCAGAGGGCACUUUUUACACACAGUCCCUGAAAUGUCCAAAUUUACUUAGAAAUAACCCCAGCUAACUUCCUUUGCCCCCUUGGUCUGCACUCUACCCAAGAUGCAGAGCAUACACACAAGGGUACUCCCAAAAUGACACUGCAUGUACCACACACCACCAAAAACAAAACAUAUGAAGUAUGUCUUAAAGUCAUCCUGGAUCACAAAAGACAAAGAGCAGAGGGGCUAAAUACCUUGAUGAGACCAAGAAAGUGAGCAGGAAAGAAUAAAUUCAAGUUAUAAGAUCUGGGCACUCAUACAGAGUAGCAGUAGCAGACAUUUAGUUGACUUUUGCCAACAUGGCCCUAAAAAUAUAAAGCCCUCACUUUAUAGCCUUUAGAGUCUGUUUAAAAAAAACCCUAAAUGUGUAUGAAAAUUAUGGAACACUGAUUAAUGCCAUUUAUCCAUAUAGAAUAUGCGACUUCAUGCCUGGUUACAAAAUUUCAAUAUUCCAAGCGUUUGGUAAGCAUAAUGUGGCCCAGUAUGUUUUCACGGACUGGAGAGUAUGUACCAACUGGCCCCAGUGGCUGUGCCAGACCCUGUGGUCAGCCCAGGGAUUUCACAGCCAGCAUAUUGAUUAAAAUAUGUCCAGUCCAAAAAUACACAAUAUUUCACUGUGUGCCAAAGCUUCCACCAUUGGACAAAUACACUGACACCUUUGUUUUACUUUGUU